CAGGUAUACAACUUAUAUUGUAUGCAUUCCACCAAAAAUCCCUCACGUUUUAUUUGAUUUCUCUAUAAUAUCCAUUGUCACUUUUAUUUUAUCAGUUUUUUAGGAAAUAGUUCGUUUUGGGAGAAUUUGUCAUUUUAUUUUGAAAUCCUACCUUCUUCCGGAAGUGACAUUGAGUCCUCACUCGUUGCUGAGACAUGCGUGAGGAAGUAAGUGUUUCUCUCUGCUCUAGUGUUUUUAAAGUGUUUGGCUGUGAAACGAGAUUAUAAUGUGCUCUGUUGUUGCUGAUAUGGUUAUGUACACUUGUUCUACUCAUAGUUUGAGUGUUUUAGCAAACUUUUUGCUGGUGUACUGCUCGGUGGCGUUUCUCGCUCACACACACACAGUGGCUGCGGCAUUUCAUUGAAGUUUUCCCUCCAUUUUAGAUUGGUUUGCUGCUGAGUCCUGUGUUAACGCUGCCGCACUGUUUCCUGUAUAUUUCAUACAGGUAUGUUUCUGUUGCUCCCAAAACUUUAUUCUAUUUUUCUGUACUGUUAUAUUUAUUAUUUAUUUUCCUAUUGUAUAAAUCAUUUCACGGUGGUGUAUUCAUUUUCAGUGUAUUUGUAAAUGUGAUGUAUAGGUUUUGUGAUAAAUGUGAAUGUUUCAUAUAACAUUUUUGUUCAUUUAAACUCACUCGUUGCUGAGACAUGCGUGAGGAAAUUGGUUUGCUGCUGAGUCCUGUGUUAACGCUGCCGCACUGUUUCCUGUAUAUUUCAUACAGGUAAAAAUAAAUACGCCACCUGUUUCGGCUAAAGGCAACCACAGAGUCCUCUUAUCUUCGAAGCAACUACACAACGCAGACUCGAACCGGUUACAUUGGUGCCGUGACCCGGAUGACAUCGUGGAUCAACACCAGUUUGAUCACCGGAGGUUGUUGAACGUCAGUCACAACAACAACAACAACAAAUUAAGAUUGGUUUGCUGCUGAGUCCUGUGUUAACGCUGCCGCACUGUUUCCUGUAUAUUUCAUACAGGUAUGUUUCUGUUGCUCCCAAAACUUUAUUCUAUUUUUCUGUACUGUUAUAUUUAUUAUUUAUUUUCCUAUUGUAUAAAUCAUUUCACGGUGGUGUAUUCAUUUUCAGUGUAUUUGUAAAUGUGAUGUAUAGGUUUUGUGAUAAAUGUGAAUGUUUCAUAUAACAUUUUUGUUCAUUUAAACUCACUCGUUGCUGAGACAUGCGUGAGGAAAUUGGUUUGCUGCUGAGUCCUGUGUUAACGCUGCCGCACUGUUUCCUGUAUAUUUCAUACAGGUAAAAAUAAAUACGCCACCUGUUUCGGCUAAAGGCAA